rnacentral:misc_RNA from 1 species
AAGUCGUAACAAGGUUCCGUAGGUGAACCUGCGGAAGGAUCAUUAGUAUCCAACGUAAAAAACCCCCCUGUGAACAUUUCUCGUAGCCCAGUGCGAUCCAGCAAUCCCGGUAAAUCAUUGUCGAACAGCUUUUGAUUCGGGACUUCUGACAAAUGAGAAGUUACAGUUACGAUUGCCCGAAGCAGUCAGUGUCUGAAAGUGUCAUUGAUUGUCUAAGGAUCUCGCCUCAGAGGUCGCUCGACCGGCAGACAUGCAACCGGGUCCCCACGCCCCUUUACAACCCGAUACCUCUGUGAGUCUAGGCGGACGCACUAGGCUAAAAAAACCUCGAACAACUGUUAACAAUGGAUAUCUUGGUUCUC